rnacentral:lncRNA from 1 species
CUGUGUGCGAACUAAAAACUGCUAGACGUAACUGGUAGCACUGCAGAGCAGACUCUUGUGUGAUGCACCUGAAGCAGUCGCACGCACAACAGCGCAGUGCAGGCAAUUCUCGUCUCAGCGGAAGUAUCAACCUAACGAAGGCCCACCAGGGCUAGCAGUGUUUUGACUUUUGGUGCCCACCAGGCAUUUGUUGUCUCGACCCUCGCCAACUCUGCGUUUCGAUUGUGGGAUACCCGGACUAAGAGAGCCAGGAAUGUUUAAACUUCACUCAUCCGCUUGAACACUGUGUGGUGAUUGGGUUGGGCCUGUAAAUUGGUUGCUUCGGCCUCCGAGCGCGACGGUUAUUACAAGGUUCUGCACACAUUCCAACAAUAAAUUUGCGAACUUUCUUGCCCGCCUUGCAUAAGUGAAGCUGAAAAAGUUUAUUCCGCUCUCUUCACAGGUUCUGCUAACGUCCGAGCCGUAUCGGUGACCGCAUCCGAGGUUUCAGCCCUGCGCUUUCGACGGCAGGCGAUUUCCUUGUGAAUUCCCUCCCAAUCUCCCUUUUAGGCAGCCACCUAUAACGACAGCGUCUCCAAUGGCUUGUUCGGUGUUGUUUGGCGUCCGGAUUCCAGAAAUGUGGGACGCACCACGGUCACACCAUGACAAUGUCCAUGUGAAGAAAGAGUCCAUGAGACUUACCUUCACUGUUGCAUACAGGCGGCUUUGAUGUAUUUGUGAGAUGUUUGCGGAGUCCUGGUUUGCCUCUUGAACUAAUCAAACGCAUUCUCUCACUUCAUACACUUCACAUUGUUGAUUGUGAUCCUGGUACCGCGACAGAGCCGCCAGGCACAAUGUUAUUCUCGAGUUGACAAUCCUAGUGUUUGACCCAGAAUCUGUCCGGAAUUUUGAAGAGAGAGAAUCGCGAUUUCCCAUAGUAGCAGCAUCGGUCUCUGAGAUUUACAGUUGAGUUUCCAAUAAGAAUUGUCCGGAACGAUCAGUCCACUGAGACUCACUUGCACCUCC